rnacentral:rRNA from 1 species
UGUACCUACGGGACGCAGCAGUGGGGAAUAUUGGGCAAUGGGCGCAAGCCUGACCCAGCAACGCCGCGUGAAGGAAGAAGGCUUUCGGGUUGUAAACUUCUUUUGCCAGGGACGAAGCAAGUGACGGUACCUGACGAAUAAGCCACGGCUAACUACGUGCCAGCAGCCGCGGUAAUACGUAGGUGGCAAGCGUUAUCCGGAUUUAUUGGGUGUAAAGGGCGUGUAGGCGGGAAUGCAAGGCAGAUGUGAAAACUAUGGGCUCAACCCAUAGCCUGCAUUUGAAACUGGAUUU